UACGUAGGGGGCAAGCGUUAUCCGGAUUCAUUGGGCGUAAAGCGCGCGUAGGCGGCCUUGUAGGUCGGGAGUUAAAUCCGAGGGCUCAACCCUCGUCCGCUUCCGAAACCCCAAGGCUUGAGUUUGGUAGGGGAGGGUGGAAUUCCCAGUGUAGCGGUGGAAUGCGCAGAUAUUGGGAAGAACACCGGUGGCGAAGGCGGCCCUCUGGGCCAUAACUGACGCUGAGGCGCGAAAGCUAGGGGAGCAAACAGG
rnacentral:rRNA from 1 species